AGAGUUUGAUCCUGGCUCAGGAUGAACGCUGGCGGCGUGCUUAACACAUGCAAGUCGAACGUGAGAAUAGCAAUAUUUGAAAGUGGCAAACGGGUGAGUAACACGUGGGAACCUGCCUCGAAGUGGGGGAUAACGAUUGGAAACGGUCGCUAAUACCGCACGGUUCUGCUCUGAUGGGAAUGGAGCAGAUAAAGAUUUAUCGCUUUGAGAGGGGCCCGCGGCCGAUUAGCUAGUUGGUAAGGUAAAGGCUUACCAAGGCGAUUAUCGGUAGCUGGUCUGAGAGGACGAUCAGCCACACGGGAACUGAGACACGGUCCCGACUCCUACGGGGGGCAGCAGUGAGGAGUAUUGGGCAAUGGGCGAAAGCCUGACCCAGCAACGCCGCGUGGAGGAUGAAGGCUUUAGGGUUGUAAACUCCUUUUGUGGGGGAAAAGAAUGGAUGGUACCCCAAGAAUAAGUCACGGCUAACUACGUGCCAGCAGCCCGCGGUAAUACGUAGGUGACAAGCGUUAUCCGGAAUUACUGGGCGUAAAGCGCACGCAGGCGGUCAGAUAAGUCUGAUGUGAAACCUUCUGGCUUAACCAGAAGACGUCGUUGGAUACUGUUUGACUUGAGGCGAUGAGAGGAAUGCGGAAUCCCCGGUGUAAUGGUGGAAUAUGUAGAUAUCGGGGGGAACAUCU
rnacentral:rRNA from 1 species